CUGAAAGCAUCUAAGCGGGAAGCCUACCUCAAGAUAAGAUUUCCCUAGGACUUUAUGUCCUCUAAAGAGCCGUUCGAGACUAGGACGUUGAUAGGUUGGAUGUGGAAGCAUAGUGAUAUGUGAAGCUGACCAAUACUAAUUGCUCGUGAGGCUUGACUAUACAACACCCA
rnacentral:rRNA from 1 species